UAGUUUUGAAAAAUAACUGCUCCGCUGCAGUCACCUCAGGACCAACUUCCCUCUGGUAUAGUUUAUUUGCUUGUUAUGUAACCUAAGCUUGCCUUCAGGUGCAGUUCUGUAAACCUGAAUGAAUCUGAGGGUAAAAUAGUUUUAUAUUAACAUGAAUCAGAUUCGUGUGUGCAUUCUUUAAGAGGGAUUCAAAGGGAUUUUUAACCAGGAAGGCAUCUUUAUUAGUAGAACUCAGACGAGUCAGCAACAAGCUGAUCGCUGCAUAAACUUAUAAAGGGGAUUGUUUAACUCUGCUAAAGUAAACCUUCCCACACUAUCAGCCCUAGACAGCAGAUCCGGGAUGUCAGAUGUCAUGGAGUAGGGGGAGGAGGGCAGCUGGAAUCUAGCAGCAACAUCUGGAGUGUUAGACACAUUAAACAAGGUGAUUUAGCAUCAUAACACUGGGUAACUAGUCAGGAGUUUGUCCUGACCCUGAUUGUGAAUGGCCAGAACUAGCCACUCACUGUCUAGUGUGGAAAGUGGAGCAAAGGACCUUUUUAGGAGAGCAGACCCUGGGAUCAGUUCUGCACACAAAAUGAAAAAUUGUGUCACUGUGUGGAAAGAGAAGUAACCGGCUGUGACCUUUGUCUGUAAGAAAGGCUUUCCGACUGAGAAGUGCCAAAAUAGCCUCAAAAUGUGUGGCUGGUGGACACAAUCUGCGAGGAGGAGGAGGAGGCCCUUACCUGCAUCUGGAGAGCUUACUCUCAUUUGCUUGGCACCUAAAGGUGUAUAAUGAAGGCACCAGGUGAGCCUCACUUGAGAAAAUAAAACCCCUUUUAUAAAACUUCCUCCUGUUCUUGGUGCCUGCUGGUGAACCCAGAAACAUGGCACCUCUUCCUUCACCCCUUUUAUUGGAAAUGCAGGCAGGGCAUUGCGAGAAAGAGGGAGAGAGGCAAUGUCUUCUGCUCUGAAUCUCUCUCACUGUGUGCGUGUGUGUGUGUGUGUGUGUGUGUGUGUGUGUGUGUUGUGGGGCAGGCGGGGGGCAGAGAGAGUUAAAGGCCAAAGGCCUGGUUAUAGAAGAUACCUUUUCACCUGGUGCCUAAAAACAUAUGGUGAUCGUGCUAGUUCAACUAUACAACUGUGAAGCCUCUUCUAUCUUGGUAACAGAGGAUAUUUGUCUGUGAAAGAAAGAGUUCUGCGUCUUGUCAGGGAGAUUGAGAAUCUUAAGUUCCUCUUAUGCUUUUAUCCUUUUUUUUUUGGUUAUAGAUCACUUUUUCCAAAUUCAUUAUUUUUUUUUAACAUUUCAGUUUAAUAUUUGUUAUAAAUGAGGGGCAAUAUCUCCUUUUCAAGGGGAAUUAAGCAUAAUAAGUUUAUGUUGUAGUUUAUCUGGGUCUGGGGUAACUUCUAUUUCUGCUUGUCAUACUUUUGUUUUGUAAAAAUUCGGCCGUAUCUGUGCUACACAUGUAAAGGUCUAGGAUACCGUUUUUGAAUAAUGAGAAUGGGGCUCUCUCAGGAUGAAUCCCCCACCCUCCAGCUCUCAUUCCCCAGGCCCCAACCCACCAUAGCCUCAUACUCCUUCCAGUAUUGGAGGCAGCCUAGCUUACCUCAGAGGGUUAUUGCCAGGAUAAUUUGGACAGGGAUAGCACACCAUGUAUAACACCUUGAGUUCCUUGGAGGAAAGGUGGGGUUUUCAAGUGAAAAUAAAGCAGCAAGGAAGACCCCCUGAGAGUACAAAUGUGCUUUUUGGAAGCUGCCUAGAGGUGGUGAGUAGCCAGGUGGAGAGAGAAGGUGUAGCCCACACCCUAAAAUGAAAAGGCAAGAACUUUCAAACCACUGGAACCACUAACACACAAUGACUAAAGGAGGAACAGCCGGCCAGCCAACACCUUGGGCAGGGAGGUGAGUUUUCAUGAGGUGGUGGAAACCGGAUCACAAUCAGAGCCCACUUUAUUCCCUUUGAUUCCCACAGCGAUGCGAGGCUGGGGGUGUGAAACUGUUAAGGGAAGCCCAGAUCCAGCUGCCCUGGCCCUCCUGGUGAGGGGUAAAUCAAGGGGCAGGACAGGUGCUUGGAAGUUGGAUGAAGAUACCAAGUGGUGACAUGGGCCUGAGAUGGAGAGAGAGAGAGAGAGCCCACAGUCCAUUGGGCGAGGCCUUGGCCAAGAGCUGACUUCACAAUGGGCUGUGGAAUGUUUUGUUUCCCAGGAAAACAGGUGAGUUGUUUGAAAGGAUCCUGAGAUCAGUUAAAAGCUCAUUCAGCUGUCUCCUUCAGAUCAGUUGACACCAGAGAUGUCUUGCUGCUUUAGAGAACUGUCUUUUUUGGAUCAGUUGGCAUCGGAAACAUCUGUCUCCUUCUGACAACUAUCUUUGGCACAGUUGAAAGCCCAGACAAUGGUCUUCUGCCUCCCCUGCUGCCACAGAAGGUAAGGUAAGCAGGUAAGCGGGGAAGAGGGGAGACAUUCUGAAGCCUUGUUCUUCUCCCCACCCCAUGGACAGUUUUUAAAGAUGCUCCUUGAUUUUUUGACCUUCAUAAAUUCCAUGUUCCCAGGGAGUGUUCCAGUUAUUUUUCUGAGUUUUUUUUUUGUUUGUCUCCAUCCAAAUGGCAGGAGAAUUACCACCUCCCCGCCCCCCAUCAGUAAAAUGCUGUCCAGGCUGGGAAAGGGCCAUUGCUCAGUAGUGGAGCCUGUGUUUUUGCAUGCAAAUUCCCUGAUGUCAUUUCCAGGCAGGGCUGGGAACAGCCCCUAGAGAGCUGCUUCUGCCAGUCAGUGUAAACCAUAGGGAGCUAGAUGUGCUAAUAUGGUUUGAGUCAGUAGAAGACAGCUUCCUGUGUUCUCAUUUAAAUCAGCCCUUUGGGACUGUGAGGACUAGAAUCUUAUAUUGUAUUUAGGCAGGGGAGAAACUAGGCUUUAUUUCCCCCGGGUCAAAGACCCAGUUUGGCACCCCACCCAGCCCCCCAUGCAGUGGCGUAGCGUGGGGGGUGCAGGGGGGGCCGGCCGCACCGGGCGCAACAUCUGGGGGGGGGCGCGCUCGCACUCGCAGCUCUCUGCCCCUACCUGGCUCACUCACUCUCUCUCACUGCAGUGCUGGCUGUGUGAAUCCGAUCCGAGCCGCUGGGUCGCUGCCCACUGUGGAGGGGGUGGGUGCCAGGCGUGCGGUGCGGAGAGAGAGCGAGGGACUAUCUGGGGGAGGGACAGUGCAGCGGCCGCCCAGAGCAGCGCUGAGCGCGGGAGAGAACCACACCAGACCAGACCAGGCAGCAGCAAGAAGAAGCUGGCAGCGGCGGCAGGUUAGGGGUUAGGGGGCGCAAAUUACUUGCCUUGCCCCGGGUGCUGACAACCCACGCUACGCCACUGCCCCCAUGCACAAAGGACUGGAAAGGAAAGACUCCUGCCUGAGGCCCUGGAGUGCCACCUUCUAGUCAGCGUGGAGGUGGACCAAUGAUCUUACUGGACAAAGCAGCUCCUUAAGGCCCCACCAGGGGUGACUCUUUGGGCAUCGCUCCCAGUCCAGGAAGAGAGCGAGAUCCAUUUCUCCUUGAAAGGCAGAAACCAACUCUACUUUAAAAACAAAACCUACUUUAGCUGCAUUGUUUCCGAACCCUGGUGGGAUUUGGCGUCUAUCUGAUGUUCCUCCCCUUUCUGCCUUCUUUGUGCACAGCUGUUUAUGAUGGAGGCCUCUCACCUGCGGUUCCUGCACAUCCCAACUGUCCUUCCCCAACCUUGGAGAGUUUCUAAAGAUCCCAAAUAAGGCUGCUUCUCUUGCUCAACUGGAGACCCUCCAGACUGUUGUGCAGGCCAUCGCCUCAUCGUGGGUCCCUCCCCCCAGCUCAUAGGCCUCGCUCAGGAGGACAAUUGGAGGACAGCAAUAGAUGAGCCCUGCAGCAACUGGAUCAGGCCCAAGGAACCCUGCUAGAGUGGCAGCCUGUUCUCAAAAGGGCCUACAAGCAGCCUGGCAAGACACCAAUGAUAAAAAGGGAGACCAUAAAACCACGUUUCCUCAUUCAAAGGUGGGAAACUGCACAGGCCAGUCCUGGUGUAUAGACUCUUCCUCCGUCUUGUCUCUCUUCAGAUCCACAAGUGCUCUACCACUUCGUUGACACUUCAGAAGUGGCACCCCAGGUAUAUAAGUUGGUGGUGUCCAGCCCUUAUGAAAGGUGGCAGGGGCUUAAGCCACAAAUGGAUCAGAUUUGGAGCCAGACUAUUCUGUGUGUGGCUGUUGCACAUUCAUCCUCCACUUCCCUGCUUUUUCAGUCAUGGAUUCGGCUAUUCGGCUGCUUGCUGUCCAGCUGUGGGUGAAGCUUGACAAGAUGCCUCCAGCCUGAGUUUGGGAAGGUUUUGAAGCUCCCACCACAGUCCUCCACCAAGAGAAGCGGACAGCAGCCACCCCAUAAGAAGGGAGCAGCCCCCCCCCAAGAGACGAGAGCAUCUCUAUACUCCCAGAGUAUCUGUUUCUUUAAAACAUAUGAGCUUUUUUUUCUUUUCUUUUAUUAAUAUUUUCAUUUAUUUUCCAAAUUACAGUAACAACAAUAAAACAACAAAUUGUCCAACAACAAACAACAAAAACUUGUCCUGGUAUUUGUACAGACUUGUAUCAUUAUAAUAAAGUUUCAUUGAAUUAUUCC